UGAGGAGCUUGCUCUUCAAAUCGAGUGGCGAACGGGUGAGUAACGCGUGAGGAACCUGCCUCAAAGAGGGGGACAACAGUUGGAAACGACUGCUAAUACCGCAUAAGCCCACGGCUCGGCAUCGAGCAGAGGGAAAAGGAGCAAUCCGCUUUGAGAUGGCCUCGCGUCCGAUUAGCUAGUUGGUGAGGUAACGGCCCACCAAGGCGACGAUCGGUAGCCGGACUGAGAGGUUGAACGGCCACACUGGAACUGAGACACGGUCCAGACUCC
rnacentral:rRNA from 1 species